AAAGGAUUAGUUAAAUUCAUAACAUUAGAAUGUCAAACUAAAAUUAUUAUAAUAUUAAUAUUCUUUA
rnacentral:tRNA from 1 species